ACUCGGUCUCCCUAGCAGUCUCUGGUGUUUUGUUUUGGGGUGAUUUGGGGCGAUUUUACAGCCUUGGGCACAACAGUUACACCCAUCCCUUGCAGAUAACAGGCAUCCAAUGACUGAUUGACACAGAGGUACGGAAGACUGGCUCCCUCCCUGCAACAUGGGACCAAGUCCGAGCUGCAGCUGAGGCCGCCGCCGGGCUCCCUGUGGGAUGCUUCUGAGGCUCACCUCCAGCCAGGACCCUGCCUUUGCCUAGCUCCUCCUGCGCUGUGCUCCCUCACUUCCCUUCCCCUGAGUGUGCUCCUUCAGGAAACCGAGUGCAUCUUAAUCCCUGUCUCAAGAUCUGCUUCUAAGGGAUAUGACAGAUUGCAAUGUCCAUCUUAUUGAUAGCCCCUCGUCCUUGCUGGCUUGGAUGAAGCAAGUUGCUGCACUGUGAGCUGCCCCAUAGAGAGAGCCACAUAGCAGGAAUUGAGGGUCAUCUUCAACCGACAGCCAGCAAGAAACUGGGGCCCUCAGCUCAGCAAGACACAGGGAGCUGCCUCUGCCAGAAAUCAUGAGGAUUGUUCCCCAUCUUGAAACAACACUGCAGCCCUUGCUGACAUCAUGAUUGUAGCUUUCAGAGCUGCCUGGUGAGCUACAGAGGGUGCAAGAGUGAGGGGGUGGCUGGCUGCUGGGAACACACAGCCUCCAUGUGGGCUUCUGUCACCUGCGGCAGCACAGCUUACGUGGUGACAGAAUUCUUCCUUUUAGAUGAGUAGCAAAUUCCAUGGGAAUGCAUAGAGGAAAUUUCCCACAACUCUGACUCCUGGGAAGCUCACAGCAGUCCCAGGUCCGGGGGCCUGGGGAUGGUGUGAGUGUCUGGACCACACAGGACUUCUUCCAUCUGGAACAAAGAAGCACGUGGGGGUAAGCCUCAGGCUCUCAAGUAGCAGUUCCUGGGUUCAUACUGUGUCCGUCACUCUCUGAUGGUCUGGAUUAGAACCUCUUGGACCUCUGCCUUCUUCAUCUGUAAGAUGGCUGAAACACUAGUGGCUAUGUCAGAGUUAUUACAAUAUUCUAUUGUUAAUAAAACUGUGUCUGGC